rnacentral:rRNA from 1 species
GCUAAACAGCUAGCAAACACCAAGAUCAUCAAACAACAUUACCACAUCUUCUUACACCACCAAUAAACUAAACCAAACCAUUUUACUGCCUUAGUACGGGCGACGGAAAAGGCACCACAUUAUAAGCGAUAGAAAAAGUACCGCAAGGGAAAGCUGAAAGAGAAAUGAAACAACCCAUAUAAGCACAAAAAAGCAGAGAUACAACCUCGUACCUUUUGCAUCAUGAUUUAGCCAGCACCCCUGAGCAAAGAGCCCUUUAGUUCAUAACCCCGAAACCAAGUGAGCUACCCCGAGACAGCCUACAUAGGGCCAACCCGUCUCUGUGGCAAAAGAGUGGGAAGAUCUCCCGGUAGAGGUGACAGACCUAUCGAACUUGGUGAUAGCUGGUUGCCUAAAAAAUGGAUAAAAGUUCAGCCUCAUACUCCUCACCUCACACCACAUCUUUAUGUCCCACGAGCCCGAGAAACACAUGAGAGUUAAUCAAAGGGGGUACAGCCCCUAUGAAACAGGACACAACCUUAACAGGAGGUUAAGGACCACACUCAUUUAGACUCCUGCUCCGGUGGGCCUAAAAGCAGCCAUCCGCAUAGAAAGCGUUAAAGCUCAGGCAGACAAAAGUCUAUAAUUCAGAUAACAAAUCCAAAACCCCUAACCACAUUAGGCCUCUCCAUGCCAACAUGGAGGAGAUUCUGCUAAAAUGAGUAACAAGAAAGACACCCCCUUUCUCCUCACCCAAGUGUAAGUCAGACCGGACCCGCCACUGACAAUUAACGAACCUAAUCAAAGAAGGCCACGUGGCCUAAUACAAUUAACCAAGAAAACCCCACGCACACACAAUCGUUAAUCCUACACUGGAGGGAUACAGGAAAGACUAAAAGAAAAGGAAGGAACUCGGCAAACACAAGCCUCGCCUGUUUACCAAAAACAUCGCCUCCCGCAAAAAUCAACAUAUAGGAGGUCCUGCCUGCCCAGUGAAAUUUCAACGGCCGCGGUAUUUUGACCGUGCAAAGGUAGCGUAAUCACUUGUCUUUUAAAUAAAGACCUGUAUGAAUGGCAAAACGAGGGCUUAACUGUCUCCCCUUUCUAGUCAGUGAAAUUGAUCUGCCCGUGCAGAAGCGGACAUAAAACUACAAGACGAGAAGACCCUUUGGAGCUUAAGACCCCGGACCACCUAUGUUAAUAAACCAGAUUAAUAAGAUUAAACUAAAUAGCUUAUUGGUCCCUGUCUUCGGUUGGGGCGACCGCGGAGGAAAACAAAGCCUCCAUGUGGAAUGGGGCUAUCGCCCCAAAAUUAAGAGGGACACCUCUAAAUCGCAAAACAUUUGACCAAAAAGAUCCGGCCUCCCAGGCCGAUCAACGAACCAAGUUACCCUAGGGAUAACAGCGCAAUCCCCUCCCAGAGUCCCUAUCGACAAGGGGGUUUACGACCUCGAUGUUGGAUCAGGACAUCCUAUUGGUGCAGCCGCUAUUAAGGGUUCGUUUGUUCAACGAUUAAAGUCCUACGUGAUCUGAGUUCAGACCGGAGAAAUCCAGGUCAGUUUCUAUCUGUAAUGUUAUUUCCUCUAGUACGAAAGGACCGAAGAAAUAAGGCCAAUGCUAUAAGCACGCCUUGCCCCCACUUAAUGAAAUCAACUAAAUUAAAUAAGGGCGGACCCAAUAGCCUCUCUAGAUAAGUGCU